UACGAAGGGUGCAAGCGUUAAUCGGAAUUACUGGGCGUAAAGCGUGCGUAGGCGGUUUGUUAAGUCUGUUGUGAAAUCCCCGGGCUCAACCUGGGAAUGGCAAUGGAUACUGGCAGGCUAGAGUGUGUCAGAGGAUGGUGGAAUUUCCGGUGUAGCGGUGAAAUGCGUAGAGAUGUGGAGGAAUACCGAUGGCGAAGGCAGCCCCCUGGGAUAACACUGACGCUCAUGCACGAAAGCGUGGGGAGCAAACAGG
rnacentral:rRNA from 1 species